rnacentral:rRNA from 1 species
GGAAUAUUGCACAAUGGGGGAAACCCUGAUGCAGCCAUGCCGCGUGUGUGAAGAAGGCCUUCGGGUUGUAAAGCACUUUCAGUAGGGAGGAAAGGGUGUAGUUUAAUACGCUAUAUCUGUGACGUUACCUACAGAAGAAGGACCGGCUAACUCCGUGCCAGCAGCCGCGGUAAUACGGAGGGUCCGAGCGUUAAUCGGAAUUACUGGGCGUAAAGCGUGCGCAGGCGGUUUGUUAAGCGAGAUGUGAAAGCCCUGGGCUCAACCUAGGAAUAGCAUUUCGAACUGGCGAACUAGAGUCUUGUAGAGGGGGGUAGAAUUCCAGGUGUAGCGGUGAAAUGCGUAGAGAUCUGGAGGAAUACCGGUGGCGAAGGCGGCCCCCUGGACAAAGACUGACGCUCAUGCACGAAAGCGUGGGGAGCAAACAGGAUUAGAUACCCUUG